rnacentral:lncRNA from 1 species
GGCCUGCUGCCAGGCACCGACCUGUGCUCCCAGGGCCGAGGGCUUCAGGGCUCGGCUUACACCUGCCUCCACCUCUGCCCUCUCUUCUGCGCCUUCAAUUUGAACAAAGUCCGCUCCUAAAAUAUCUUUAUCUCUUUCCUUCCGUGAGGAUCGAGCUCUGCUUCUGCUCCCUCUGUGCCUCAUGGGGAAGUGGGAGGUCAACUGCAGGGGCUUCUCUGGGAAGUACCUGGGGACUGCAGUGACUCAGACCUCUGCUCAGGCCCAGCUGUUGUCCCACACACAGCCUCGGGGCGUCACUGCACAGGUGAGUCAGGUGGGGCUGUUGGGGUCA